rnacentral:rRNA from 1 species
UAGGGAAUCUUCCACAAUGGACGCAAGUCUGAUGGAGCAACGCCGCGUGAGUGAAGAAGGUUUUCGGACCGUAAAGCUCUGUUGUUGGUGAAGAAGGAUAGAGGUAGUAACUGGCCUUUAUUUGACGGUAAUCAACCAGAAAGUCACGGCUAACUACGUGCCAGCAGCCGCGGUAAUACGUAGGUGGCAAGCGUUGUCCGGAUUUAUUGGGCGUAAAGCGAGCGCAGGCGGAAGAAUAAGUCUGAUGUGAAAGCCCUCGGCUUAACCGAGGAAUUGCAUCGGAAACCGUUUUUCUUGAGUGCAGAAGAGGAGAGUAGAACUCCAUGUGUAGCGGUGGAAUGCGUAGAUAUAUGGAAGAAUACCAGUGGCGAAGGCGGCUCUCUGGUCUGCAACUGACGCUGAGGCUCGAAAGCAUGGGUAGCGAACAGGAUUAGAUACCCUGGUAGUCCAUGCCGUAAACGAUGAGUGCUAAGUGUUG